UAGGCCUCCGUUUGGGCUGAGGUGGUCGAACCCACUGGGAAUGUUCCGAAUAGGAGCCUGGGAGCUAGAAUGCAAACAAUACUAAAAAACAGCUGGGCUGUUUCAACCUCACAUGAUGUACAACGCGAGCGAGACCCUGAGCCAAAGAAAAGAUCCAACGGGAGGGAACAUGUUUAAAGAUCAAUCAGGGAAAGAUGGAGGGAAAUCCUGUGUGUGUUGACGAAAAGCAGCACGACAAAAGGACAUCGAAAAAUUCUCGUGACACGAAAUGGACAAUAAAUACCAUAGGCACACAAGCAAGAAUUGAUGGCAUACAGUGUACAGUCACCCAGCAGGGUCACCCGCCACCACUCAGCAUUGAUGUGGCCUACCAAAUUAUGAGGGUGUGUGACUUAACAAAAGGUGCACUGUACAUACUAUACAGACCUCAUCCAGGACAAAUUCCUCCACGUCCACCACCUCAAAGGCAUCAUCAUCAUCAGUUUGUAGGGAUGUGACGGCAGCAAGAGCAGCCGCCAGCUUCUUCCUCAGGCAGAAGCCUCUCCAUCGCGCCUGGAUGUGGCAC